ACCGACCUGCAAAGCAGGUGCGGGCGACCACUGCAGGUUGAACCAAUACUCUUUGAACAGGGGUUUGGCUCGUGCGAAGGUUCGGUGUGCUAUGUCGGCCAGUCCCGAAAGCCUAAAGAACCUCGGCUAGACCCCACCGCUUACCGGCGGGUUCACCUGCAACUCGACUCACGGCCCAGCGGGUCGGUC
rnacentral:other from 1 species